ensembl:lncRNA
GGUUCUGCGAGGGGAGAGGUGGGGCUGGCUGGAGGCACACAGAAUCAGGACCUUACCAAUUAUGAGAUUUGCUGUUCCGCGUUCUCCACUAGGCAUUUGGACUCAGAACAUUCACUGCCUCAGGGGACAGACGACCCACCAGAAGUUAGAAGUUGGUUCUUGUCUUCUGAGUGUCAAACACUGAUGCCUGUUGCCCAUCGAAACUGGCAGACCCUAGCAAACCACAGUCCAGGAGCCUUGCUGAACACAUUACCAGCCCUGCAGUCCUGGUGUUCUUCUUACACUUCCUGUCAU